AAUCCCAUUGGCAGAUCAGCAGAAACAGCUUCAGCCAAUGACAGUGCAGUGUAUUCACUAGUAUCAGCCAAUCAGAGCGAGGAUCUUUAUACCAACAUUACAUCAGUGAAACCCAAACGCUCCAGCAGAGCAGAAGCAGGAGAUGUGGAGGAUCUUCAAUACGCCAGUGUUCAUCACUUCAAGAACAAAGACAUGAAGACUGAAGAACAUCAGAAGAUGGAGAUGCAGCGUCCGUCUGAUGCCAACAGAUGUGAGGAUGUGAUUUACAGCUCAGUCAAAUAAACAACAUUGGCUUGAUGCUGUUGAUGAUGAUCAGAGACUGCUUGAGUUCUGCUGAUUCACAGAUUUUGCUCAUCAUUAGAGGACGUCAACAUCUGAUUUCAGGCUUAUUUGCUGAUGUGUGUGUUUAUUGUACAGAGUGUGUUUGUUCUGGAAAUGCAUUUCAGGAGGAAAUCAUCAUAAAGAAAUGCAUUCAUAUAUUAUAUUCAUAUAACCUUCAUAAUUCUCCCUCAUUAUUGUUAAUUAGUGUCUUCACUGGAGGAUGAACAGAUUGAACUGAUGAUUUGUACAGAUGAGCAGUGUUUUUAUCUCAAACUCAAAUCAAUCUGUAAAUAAUUCUAUUAAAGUGACUGGAUUUGACUGAACUGUGUUUGCUGGAGUAACCUACUAAUGUCUGUUGUGUUGUAGUGUCAUAUAUCACACAAUAAACAUUGAUUUAUUAAUAAUUA